UACGUAGGGGGCAAGCGUUGUCCGGAUUUAUUGGGCGUAAAGGGCGCGUAGGCGGCCUGCUAAGUCGAACGUGAAAUCCCCGGGCUCAACCCGGGAACUGCGUCCGAUACUGGCAGGCUUGAAUUCGGGAGAGGGAUGCGGAAUUCCAGGUGUAGCGGUGAAAUGCGUAGAUAUCUGGAGGAACACCGGUGGCGAAGGCGGCAUCCUGGACCGAAAUUGACGCUGAGGCGCGAAAGCCAGGGGAGCAAACGGG
rnacentral:rRNA from 1 species